rnacentral:rRNA from 1 species
ACCUGGUUGAUUCUGCCAGUAGUCAUAUGCUUGUCUCAAAGAUUAAGCCAUGCAUGUCUAAGUAUAAGCAAUUACAAAGCGAAACUGCGAAUGGCUCAUUAUAUAAGUUAUCGUUUAUUUGAUAGUACCUUACUACAUGGAUAACCGUGGUAAUUCUAGAGCA